GAGGGGAUAGCUCAGUGGAAGAGCGCAUGCUUCGCAUGUAUGAGGUCCUGGGUUCAAUCCCCAGCAUUUCCAAGCA